rnacentral:rRNA from 1 species
CAAUAGCGUAUAUUAAAGUUGUUGCGGUUAAAAAGCUCGUAGUUGGAUUUCUGCCCUGUGCACGCAGGUCCGCCCUCCGGGCGUGCAUCUCGCGGGCCAGGGCAUCCUCCAGCAAUCUGGGCUGCACUUCAUUGUGUGGCGCAGGGGGCUGGACCUUUACUUUGAGGAAAUUAGAGUGUUUCAAGCAGGCCGAGCCUUGAAUACGCUAGCAUGGAAUAAUAAGAUAGGAUCCUGGUUCUAUUUUGUUGGUUUCUAGAGCUUGGAUAAUGAUUAAUAGGGAUAGUUGGGGGCAUUCGUAUUUAACUGUCAGAGGUGAAAUUCUUGGAUUUGUUAAAGACGAACCACUGCGAAAGCAUUUGCCAAGGAUGUUUUCAUUGA